AUGAUGAAAAUGCAUGGGCUUGGAAAUGGCCCUUACUGGAUUAUCUACUACGCAUACUUCCUUAUUUUGUCUACGGUGUAUCUUGUGCUAUUUGUCAUUUUUGGAGCCCUUAUAGGUCUAAAUUUUUUCAAGACGAACGACUACAGUAUCCAGUUUGUUUUCUUCUUCAGUUUCAUUAACUUGCAGAUUGUAUUAUCCUUCCUAGCUGCAACAUUCUUUUCGAAGGUUAAUACUGCUCAAGCAAUUGCAUAUCUGUACAUAUUUGGAUCAGGGUUAAUGGCAGGAUCUCUUAUUCGGAAUUUUCUUGAAGGUGGAAAAUUUCCAAGAAACUGGAUUACAGUUCUGGAGAUAAUACCUGCAUUUUCUUUAUAUCGAGGAUUAUACGAGCUUAGCCAGUAUGCUAUUAGGGCUUCAGAAACAGGAAAUCCUGGCAUGCGAUGGAGUGAUCUAAAUGACCGUACAAAUGGAAUGAGGGAUGUGCUGAUCAUUAUUAUUGUUGAGUGGUUGGUUUUGCUUCCCGUUGCAUAUUAUUUUGACUAUGCUGCUUCAGUUGGAAACAGCUCUGGUCUCCUUUCCAUCAUCAAACGUCUCCUAAGGAAAAACCCCACUUGGAGAAGGAUAGCUGUUAACGAAGUCGCCGAUAACGAUGUUCAUGUAGAAAUGGAGAAGCUAGACAUUAUUAAAGAAAGGGAGACUGUUGAUCAAGUAUUACAGCAGCGGAACAGUGGCUACGCUGUUGUCUGUGAUGAUCUCAAGAAAGUAUAUCAUGGAAAGGAUGGUAACCCUGAUAAGUAUGCUGUUCGAGGUCUAUCACUUGCUUUGCCGUACGGAGAGUGUUUGGGCAUUCUUGGUCCUAAUGGAGCUGGCAAGAGCUCUUUUAUUAGCAUGAUGAUUGGGUUUUCAAAGCCAACAUCAGGGAAUGCAUUUGUACAGGAUUUCAGCAUACACACUGACAUGGAAAACGUAUACAACAGCAUGGGGGUUUGCCCGCAGAAUGAUAUGCUUUGGGAGAUGCUGACUGGCAGAGAACACCUCCAGUUUUAUGGUCGACUGAAGAGCCUCAGUGGCUCUGCUUUGGACCUUGCCGUCGAAGAAUCUUUAAGAAGUGUAAAUUUACUUCUUGGCGGUGCUGCUGACAAGCAAGUCAGGAAGUACAGCGGUGGCAUGAAGAGGCGUCUUAGCGUGGCCAUCUCGCUGAUUGGAGAUGCUAAAGUAGUGUACAUGGACGAGCCCAGCACUGGACUGGAUCCAGCUUCGAGGAAGAGUCUCUGGACUGCUGUGAAGCAAGCAAAGCAAGAUAGAGCAAUCAUUCUUACAACCCAUUCCAUGGAAGAAGCCGAAGUUCUCUGCGAUCGGUUGUGUAUUAUGGUCGAUGGCAGGCUCCAGUGCAUAGGAAGGCCUAAAGAGCUCAUAGCAAGAUAUGGAGGCUAUUAUGUGCUGACGAUGACGACAUCCUCAGAGUUCGAGCGCGAGGUCGAGGAUUUGGCGCUGAAGCUCUCUCAGAACGCGAGGAAGGUAUAUCAUUUGUCAGGGACACAGAAAUACGAGCUCUCGAAGCAAGAAGUUAGGAUUGCAGAUGUUUUCAUGGCCGUGGAGAAUCUCAAGAGGAGAGUGGAAGUGCAAGCAUGGGGCCUCGCGGACACCACCAUGGAAGAUGUGUUCGUCAAGGUCGCGACAGGGGCGCAGUCAAGCGACGAACUCUCUUAG
rnacentral:rRNA from 1 species